rnacentral:rRNA from 1 species
CCGCGUGCAGGUAUGACGAGACCUAUGGAUUGUAAACUGCUUUAUGAAGUGGGAAACACUCCAACGUGUUGGAGCUUGACGGUAUCGUAAGAAUAAGGAUCGGCUAACUCCGUGCCAGCAGCCGCGGUAAUACGGAGGAUCCAAGCGUUAUCCAGAAUCAUUGGGUUUAAAGGGUCCGUAGGCGGUUUAGUAAGUCAGUGGUGAAAGCCCAUCGCUCAACGGUGGAACGGCCAUUGAUACUGCUAAACUUGAAUUAUUAGGAAGUAACUAGAAUAUGUAGUGUAGCGGUGAAAUGCUUAGAGAUUACAUGGAAUACCAAUUGCGAAGGCAGGUUACUACUAAUGGAUUGACGCUGAUGGACGAAAGCGUGGGUAGCGAACAGGAUUAGAUACCCUGGUAGUCCACGCCGUAAACGAUGGAUACUAGCUGUUGGAAGCAAUUUCAGUGGCUAAGCGAAAGUGAUAAGUAUCCCACCUGGGGAGUACGUUCGCAAGAAUGAAACUCAAAGGAAUUGACGGGGGCCCGCACAAGCGGUGGAGCAUGUGGUUUAAUUCGAUGAUACGCGAGGAACCUUACCAAGGCUUAAAUGUAGAUUGACCGGUUUGGAAACA